rnacentral:rRNA from 1 species
GACGAACCGUACGAACGUUAUUCGGAAUCACUGGGCUUAAAGGGUGCGUAGGCGGCGCAGAAAGUUGGGUGUGAAAUCCCUCGGCUUAACCGAGGAACUGCGCCCAAAACUACUGUGCUCGAGGGAGGUAGAGGUGAGCGGAACUUAGGGUGGAGCGGUGAAAUGCGUUGAUAUCCUAAGGAACACCGGUGGCGAAAGCGGCUCACUGGACCUCUUCUGACGCUGAGGCACGAAAGCUAGGGUAGCGAACGGG